rnacentral:rRNA from 15 species
AAGAACCCCGGAAGGGGAGUGAAAUAGAACAUGAAACCAUCAGCCAUCAAGCAGUGGAAGGACGAUUUAACGUCUGACCGCGUGCCUGUUGAAGAAUGAGCCGGCGACUUAUAAGCAGUGGCAGGUUAAAGCAUGAUGUGCUGAAGCCAAAGCGAAAGCGAGUUUGAAUAGAGCGGUCGUCACUGAUUAUAGACCCGAACCCGGGUGAUCUAACCAUGUCCAGGAUGAAGCUUGGGUACCACCAAGUGGAGG